GAUGAAGAACGUAGCGAAAUGCGAUAAGUAAUGUGAAUUGCAGAAUUCAGUGAAUCAUCGAAUCUUUGAACGCAUCUUGCGCUCCUUGGUAUUCUGAGGAGCAUGCCUGUUUGAGUGUCAUUAAAUUCUCAACCGCACUGACUUUGAAUUGGUGUGGCUUGGAUUUGGGGGGAAAAUUGUUGUGGGCUUUUUUGUAUAGUCUGCUCCCCUGAAAUUGAUUAGCGGUACCUUUGUGGAACUGUCUACAGGUGUGAUAAUUAUCUACAUCCUAGACAUCUGCUGGAAUGCUGCUUUCUAAACCUUACUUGUAUUGACAAUCUUGACCUCAAAUCAGGUAGGACUACCCGCUGAACUUAAGCAUAUCAAUAAGCGGAGGA
rnacentral:misc_RNA from 1 species